rnacentral:rRNA from 1 species
UACAUGGAGUCCAAACGUUAUCCGGAUUUACUGGGCGUAAAGCGUUCGUAGGUGUCCAUCCAAGUCUUUAGUGAAAUCUCCGGGCUUAACUCGGAAACUGUUAAGGAAACUGGAUGGAUUGAGUACGGCAGAGGCGAUGGAAUUCCUAGUGUAGAGGUAAAAUUCGUUGAUAUUAGGAAGAACACCAGUGGCGAAGGCGAUCUGCUGGGCCGUUACUGACACUGAGGAACGAAAGCGUGGGGAGCGAACGGG